AAUAAAAAGAGCUUUAAGGUCAAACUCGAGGUUGGUAACACGUCUAUACAAUUGUCAAUGGAUCUUAAAAUAAGAGAUUACACCUCAAGUAUAUAAUCACAAGUUUUCUGUCGUCUUAAAAAUAUUCGAUGAGCACAUCACCAUAUGAUAAAAACUAUAAUAUGACCAAUACUCUAGCUUAUAAAUGUACAUGCUCGACAUGUACUUGUGAUAUUGUCAAUACUCAGUACUCUAGCUUAAUUUCAGCCAUGACUAUCAAUCAUGUAAUCAGAUCAUCUGGAGUUAUGGUUCCACCAUAGGAAUCCAUCUGGUACGCUUGAUUUCUUUGUAAUGGAUGCUUUGCCAAUUGUUCAAAUGGAUGUUCAUUAAAUCCAUGUUUUUAGACAUGGACAGGAACCUACCAAGCUUAUAAGGGAAGUCUUGUCCAAGGCACUGGUUCCAUAUUAUCCUCUUGCAAGAAGACUCAACAGAUUAUCUGACGGCAGUCUUCAAGUUAAUUGUACUGGAGAAGGGGCAUGGUUUAUUGAGGCUUCUGCUGAUCAAAAUUGGCAUACCUUAAGCACAACAAUAACAACCCGACACGCAAGCUUUCAAUCGAUGCGGACCACGGAGCACAAGAAACUACAACAUUAAAAUGAUCCUUGCGUUAUAAAAAUACAAACAAAAAUAUGUCGAAUAGAUCAAACGAACAAAAGAAUGAAUUACCUGUAAAUGUCACAACAACAAACAGUUACAUAAAUUAUCCCCACCACAUAGUUCAAACCACCGUUGCACAUAACGAGAAACAUACCAAAAAAAUAAAACAUAAAUCAGUUCAAAAAAAAACACACACACACAAAUUCCAGACACCAAUAGCCCUUUCGACAACAUGCUAUGUAAAUGGAGGAAGAAGACUAAUCUAAAAUUUAGUGUGUGAAAUCCAAGAAAUUUGUACUCCCUUGAACAGAAAAAAUCUAAGAAACAAGAGAAAGUUCAUUAAAACUAACCUUGAAGAAGACAAAGUAUGGAAGUGCAGAAAUAAGCCUCAGAUAACUGCAGUUGCUCUUCAGCCUCAACCUAAGAAUAAUAUUACAAUUAGACUGUAUGAAAACUUGCAACUAAACAGUUACAUAAAAUCUUUUCCAUCCAAUAAAAUCUUCAUUAAGCAGGUAUAAAGCUUUAGUACUAAAAUUCUGUAAUUGUAAAUACAGAGUCUGACUUAUUUGUUGGCAAGUAAAGGAUAUCUCUUUUGCUUCCCACCCACUUGAAUAAAGGGAAAGAUGGGGGUGGAGAACCUUAAUCAAUGACAGCAUAUGUAACAGCAACUAGUGUGUGAUUCCAAGCUUAUAUAGCAAGGAAAACAGGUUGGCUUAUUAAAGCUUGUUCGGACCAACACAAAUAAAAAGGAAAGGGAAAUCAACAAAAGAAAAAGCAGAAACAUAUGAGUGAUUGUUACUAUACAGUAACAGUUCUAGCAUUAACCUGUGUGUUCUAUUUUUUAUUUUUUUAAUAAAAAUGAAAAUAGAGUUAUGGAGUCAUGACUUAUGAGUUUGCUGGCAAUAUAUAACAGUUUGCUGUAUACUGUAUGAUUUUGGCAUAUGGAUAUUUAUCUCUCUGAUGAAAGUUGUCGCCAUUCACCCGCAAAACAUCAAAUCCUGAAAAUAAAAAUUAGAAAUGAAGGUCUGCAGAUCCCAGGUUCGAUAGAUACAUCAUCAUGAAUGAACCCAGAUGCUAUAGCAUUCUGCUUUGCUUGUUUGUGAAGUUUAUUUAUUGAAAUACUCUGCGACCAGCUAAUCUGUACCUCUAUAAGUCUAUAUAGCUACACUAAUAUUGGCUUAUGUGGUUAUGGGAAGAAGACAAGAGUUGAACACACAUUUAUCAACAACUAUUAGACUGGACAGGUCUUAUGGCGGAGCAAUGGUAAUUAAUGAUAUGUUGUGGGUUAAGAGUGAGGAAGCAUGGCUGUGGGUUAUGCUCCAAGGUUCAUGUCUGAGGAAGAGUGAUGUAUCAGGUGACAGAGUCAGGCAGUAGGUUUUUGCAGGUUGCCAGCAGCUGUAGUCUACCUUAUUUGGCGUUUGUAUGUUUCCUUUAGAGAGUCUAGGCUCUUAAAGGAUUUUAUCUGACGCUGUAGCUAGUCUGCAGGCUUAUCAGAAUGGUGUCGAGACUAUCUACAGCUUUGGUCUUCUCUCGAUUACACGACAACCAUUACUUUCUUAUAUUCAGAAUUGACUAAUCAACAUUCAACUUAACAUAACUAGCGUAGCUACUACUCUAACAGUCUGACUCAUGACCCAAACAAUCUUUUCCAAAGUAGAAUGUGUACAGACUUUUUGAGUCUACAAAAAACCAAUAUUACUGCAAAUUAAAUAAUUAACAACACAACAGGUUUGAUUUGAUUAACCAUAUCACUGUGACAAAAAAAACAAAAAAAGUUGCAGUUCUUAGUGGAUAAUAUGGAGUAAUGUUUAUCUAUUGAGAAAGUGAUUAUACUAAUGUUAAUUAAAGCUUGUUCAAAUUGUAGGAUGAAAAACCCACCAUUUUCAAAAACCCCCAAUUACAGAAAAAACCACAAUUAUAGAAAAAACUCCAAUUUUUAAUUUCGGUAACAGUAAAACCCUAACCAUAAAUUUCAUAAUUCAAUGAAAUUAUGGAAACCAUAAAUUACAAAAUUCUAAAUUUCAUCAAUAUAACCAAAAAUUCAUCAUCACAACCCUAAAAUUCCAUCAACACAACCCUAAUUUACAUAAAUUAUACUAACCCCCAAACCCUUAAUUACAAAAUUGAACAAACCUAGCUUAACCCUAAACUUCAAUUUGUGAAAAAAUAGUGUAAAGCAACAAAACAUUUAGAAAAAUUUGUAUAAAAAAAAAAUGGAUAGAUGAAAUUUGUAAAAAUCGAAAAGAAAUUUUAAAGAAGUAGCAAAUAAGUGAAAGAAAUUGUUUACCUUUUCGAAAUAGCAAAGAUUUAUGCCGCUGUUGUCUCCAUCGCGAUCGUUGUUUAUCGCUUUUUUUUUUUUUUUGGUUUCUUU
rnacentral:lncRNA from 1 species